rnacentral:rRNA from 1 species
GACGAACGCUGGCGGCGUGCUUAACACAUGCAAGUCGAACGGAAAGGCCCUGCUUUUGUGGGGUGCUCGAGUGGCGAACGGGUGAGUAACACGUGAGUAACCUGCCCUUGACUUUGGGAUAACUUCAGGAAACUGGGGCUAAUACCGGAUAGGAGCUCCUGCUGCAUGGUGGGGGUUGGAAAGUUUCGGCGGUUGGGGAUGGACUCGCGGCUUAUCAGCUUGUUGGUGGGGUAGUGGCUUACCAAGGCUUUGACGGGUAGCCGGCCUGAGAGGGUGACCGGCCACAUGGGACCGGGGUUACGGCCCGGAUUCCUACGGGAGGCAGCGGUGGGGAAAAUUGAACAAGGGGGGGAGGCCGGAUGAGGAAACGCGGGGGGGGGAAGGACGGCCUUGGGGUUGUAACCCGCUUUCGCUUGGGACGAGGCGUGAUUGACGGUAAUGGUAAAGAAGCACCGGCUAACUACGUG